CGGACAGAUGGGAGCUUGCUCCCUGAUGUUAGCGGCGGACGGGUGAGUAACACGUGGGUAACCUGCCUGUAAGACUGGGAUAACUCCGGGAAACCGGGGCUAAUACCGGAUGCUUGUUUGAACCGCAUGGUUCAAACAUAAAAGGUGGCUUCGGCUACCACUUACAGAUGGACCCGCGGCGCAUUAGCUAGUUGGUGAGGUAACGGCUCACCAAGGCGACGAUGCGUAGCCGACCUGAGAGGGUGAUCGGCCACACUGGGACUGAGACACGGCCCAGACUCCUACGGGAGGCAGCAGUAGGGAAUCUUCCGCAAUGGACGAAAGUCUGACGGAGCAACGCCGCGUGAGUGAUGAAGGUUUUCGGAUCGUAAAGCUCUGUUGUUAGGGAAGAACAAGUGCCGUUCAAAUAGGGCGGCACCUUGACGGUACCUAACCAGAAAGCCACGGCUAACUACGUGCCAGCAGCCGCGGUAAUACGUAGGUGGCAAGCGUUGUCCGGAAUUAUUGGGCGUAAAGGGCUCGCAGGCGGUUUCUUAAGUCUGAUGUGAAAGCCCCCGGCUCAACCGGGGAGGGUCAUUGGAAACUGGGGAACUUGAGUGCAGAAGAGGAGAGUGGAAUUCCACGUGUAGCGGUGAAAUGCGUAGAGAUGUGGAGGAACACCAGUGGCGAAGGCGAC
rnacentral:rRNA from 1 species